CUUGUCUCAGAUUGUGGUAAUGUUUGGUAUCCCUUUACUUUGUGCAUAACAUUUUAGAUUCAGUUACUUUAAUUAAUCAGUGUGUCUUACAACAGCUCUGCUUUAUACAAAAUACAUGGACUGUAGAUUCCUUAUGACUUUGAAUUUAAUUUCUUUACCCGUUUAAAAAGCUUGGGGAUUAUUAGUAUUUAGCCAUUGUUUGCAUGUAGACCUAUCGCACUUAAUUACUGAUUGUUAAUAGAAAUUUCCUUAUGAUGAAAGCAACUAUAGAGUUCAUUACCAGUAUCACAGUAUCAGUUCAUUUUAAAAUGUUUGUGGACGCACAGCCAGGAUACGACAAUUUAGAAAAUGAAGCAUGUAUUGGAUUUGGUUUGUGUUGCAUUUGGAAAAUGAAUCUCACUCAAUACAGUAGUUCAAACUUACAACUAAAUUUGAAACAUUAUAGAACUAAUUAAACCUGGAACGAAAAGCAAUUGCCGC